rnacentral:rRNA from 1 species
ACGUUGGAUACUGGAGCGGGGAAGGAUUUCGUGCCAACGGCACUCGUACACGAGUUGUUCGGAUACUGAGCACAACGUUACACCGUUUUGUUAGGAAAGUGAAGGUGCGUCGGCGGCGUGCGUUUUUUUUUUGCUUUGUUUUUUUUUUUUAAAAAAAAAAAAAAAAAAGGCGCCCCCCCCUGGGCCUUUUUGAAAAGGGGGAAAAAA